rnacentral:rRNA from 1 species
GACGAACGCUGGCGGCGUGCUUAACACAUGCAAGUCGAGCGGUAAGGCCCUUUCGGGGGUACGACGAGCGGCGAACGGGUGAGUAACACGUGGGUGGCCUGCCCUCAGCUCUGGGAUAAGCCUGGGAAACGUAGGGUCGUAAUACCGGAUAUGACUCCAUGACGCAUGUUGUGGGGUGGAAAGCCUUGUGCGGCUGAGGAUGGGCCCGCGGCCUAUCAGCUUGUUGGUGGGGGUGAGGCCUACCAAGGCGACGACGGGUAGCCGGCCUGAGAGGGCGACCGGCCACACUGGGACUGAGACACGGCCCAGACUCCUACGGGAGGCAGCAGUGGGGAAUCUUGCGCAAUGGGCGAAAGCCUGACGCAGCGACGCCGCGUGAGGGAUGACGGCCUCGGUU